rnacentral:rRNA from 1 species
GACGAACGCUGGCGGCGUGCUUAACACAUGCAAGUCGAACGAUGAAGCUGGAGCUUGCUCCGGUGGAUUAGUGGCGAACGGGUGAGUAACACGUGAGCAAUCUGCCCUUGACUCUGGGAUAACUGCGGGAAACUGUAGCUAAUACCGGAUACUUUCCUUGGUGGGCAUCCACUGGGGAAGAAAGAAUUUCGGUCAAGGAUGAGCUCGCGGCCUAUCAGCUAGUUGGUGAGGUAAUGGCUAACCAGGGCGACGACGGGUAGCCGGCCUGAGAGGGUGACCGGCCACACUGGAACUGAGACACGGUCCAGACUCCUACGGGAGGCAGCAGUGGGGAAUAUUGCACAAUGGGCGAAAGCCUGAUGCAGCAACGCCGCGUGAGGGACGAAGGCCUUCGGGUUGUAAACCUCUUUUAGCAGGGAAGAAGCGAAAGUGACGGUACCUGCAGAAGAAGCACCGGCUAACUACGUGCCAGCCGCCGCAGUAA